CAUAUCAAUAAGCGGAGGAAAAGAAACCAACAGGGAUUGCCUCAGUAACGGCGAGUGAAGCGGCAACAGCUCAAAUUUGAAAUCUGGCUCCUUCGGGGUCCGAGUUGUAAUUUGUAGAGGGUGUUUCGGGCGAGGCGCCGGCCUAAGUUCCUUGGAACAGGGCGUCAUAGAGGGUGAGAAUCCCGUAUGCGGCCGGCGACCGACCCCAUGUGAAACCCCUUCGACGAGUCGGGUUGUUUGGGAAUGCAGCUCUAAAUGGGUGGUAAAUUUCAUCUAAAGCUAAAUACCGGCCAGAGACCGAUAGCGCACAAGUAGAGUGAUCGAAAGAUGAAAAGCACUUUGGAAAGAGAGUUAAAAAGUACGUGAAAUUGUUGAAAGGGAAGCGCUUGCCACCAGACCUGUCCCCGGGUGAUCAGCCGCCGUUCUCGGUGGUGUACUCGCUCGGCGCAGGCCAGCAUCGAUUCGGGCGGUCGGAUAAAGGCCUUGGGAACGUGGCUCCCUUCGGGGAGUGUUAUAGCCCUUGGUGCAAUGCGGCCAGCCUGGAUCGAGGACCGCGCUUCGGCUAGGAUGCUGGCGUAAUGGUUGUAAGCGGCCCGUCUUGAAACACGGACCAAGGAGUCGAUCAUCUAUGCGAGUGUUUGGGUGUCAAACCCAUGCGCGGAAUGAAAGUGAACGGAGGUGAGAACUCUUUAGAGCGCAUCAUCGACCGAUCCAGAUGUCUUCGGAUGGAUUUGAGUAAGAGCAUGGCCGAUCGGACCCGAAAGAUGGUGAACUAUGCCUGAAUAGGGUGAAGCCAGAGGAAACUCUGGUGGAGGCUCGCAGCGGUUCUGACGUGCAAAUCGAUCGUCAAAUUUGGGUAUAGGGCGAAAGACUAAUCGAACCAUCUGGUAGCUGGUUCCUGUCGAAGUUUCCCUCAGGAUAGCAGUAACGUUUUCAGUUUUAUGAGGUAAAACGAAUGAUUAGAGGCCUUGGGGAUGCAACAUCCUUAACCUAUUCUCAAACUUUAAAUAUGUAAGAAGUCCUUGUUACUUAGUUGAACGUGGACAUUUGAAUGUAUCGUUACUAGUGGGCCAUUUUUGGUAAGCAGAACUGGCGAUGCGGGAUGAACCGAACGUGGGGUUAAGGUGCCGGAAUGCACGCUCAUCAGACACCACAAAAAGUGUCAGUUCAUCUAGACAGCAGGACGGUGGCCAUGGAAGUCGGAAACCGCUAAGGAGUGUGUAG
rnacentral:rRNA from 1 species